AGAGUUUGAUCAUGGCUCAGGACGAACGCUGGCGGCGUGCUUAACACAUGCAAGUCGAACGGUGAUGGCCAGCUUGCUGGUCUGAUCAGUGGCGAACGGGUGAGUAACACGUGAGCAACCUACCCCAGACUCUGGAAUAACCAUGGGAAACGAUGGCUAAUACCGGAUACGAGACACACGCGCAUGUGUGGUGUCUGGAAAGAUUUAUCGGUCUGGGAUGGGCUCGCGGCCUAUCAGCUUGUUGGUGGGGUAGUGGCCUACCAAGGCGACGACGGGUAGCCGGCCUGAGAGGGCGACCGGCCACACUGGGACUGAGAUACGGCCCAGACUCCUACGGGAGGCAGCAGUGGGGAAUAUUGCACAAUGGGCGCAAGCCUGAUGCAGCGACGCCGCGUGAGGGAUGACGGCCUUCGGGUUGUAAACCUCUUUCAGCAGGGAAGAAGCGAAAGUGACGGUACCUGCAGAAGAAGCGCCGGCUAACUACGUGCCAGCAGCCGCGGUAAUACGUAGGGCGCAAGCGUUGUCCUGAAUUAUUGGGCGUAAAGAGCUCGUAGGCGGUUUGUCGCGUCUGCUGUGAAAACCUAAGGCUCAACCUUGGGCUUGCAGUGGGUACGGGCAGACUAGAGUGCGGUAGGGGUGACUGGAAUUCCUGGUGUAGCGGUGGAAUGCGCAGAUAUCAGGAGGAACACCGAUGGCGAAGGCAGGUCACUGGGCCGCAACUGACGCUGAGGAGCGAAAGCAUGUGGAGCGAACAGGAUUAGAUACCCUGGUAGUCCAUGCCGUAAACGUUGGGCACUAGGUGUGGGGCUCAUUCCACGAGUUCCCGUGCCGCAGCAACGCAUUAAGUGCCCCCC
rnacentral:rRNA from 1 species